UACGGAGGGUGCGAGCGUUGUCCGGAAUCAUUGGGCGUAAAGGGCGCGUAGGUGGCCCGGUCAGUUCGUGGUGAAAGCGCGGGGCUCAACCCUGCGUCGGCCAUGAAUACUGCCGCGGCUGGAGCACUGUAGGGGCAGGCGGAAUUCCGGGUGUAGCGGUGGAAUGCGUAGAGAUCCGGAAGGACACCGGUGGCGAAGGCGGCCUGCUGGGCAGUUGCUGACACUGAGGCGCGACAGCGUGGGGAGCAAACAGG
rnacentral:rRNA from 1 species